GAAAUGCGAUAAGUAAUGUGAAUUGCAGAAUUCAGUGAAUCAUCGAAUCUUUGAACGCACAUUGCGCCCGCUAGUAUUCUGGCGGGCAUGCCUGUUCGAGCGUCAUUUCAACCAUCAAGCCCCCGGCUUGUGUUGGGGACCUGCGGCCGCCGCAGCCCCCGAAAAGCAGUGGCGGGCUCGCUGUCACCCCGAGCGUAGUAGUAACAUCUCGCUUAGGGCGUGCCGCGGGCGCCGGCCGUUAAACCAUUCUUUUAUCCAAAGGUUGACCUCGGAUCAGGUAGGAAUACCCGCUGAACUUAA
rnacentral:misc_RNA from 1 species